GUCCGGAUAGUUCAGUCGGUAGAGCAUCAGACAUUUAACCUGAGGAUCCAAGGUUCAAGUCCCUGUUCAGGUA
rnacentral:tRNA from 1 species